UACGUAGGGACCAAGCGUUGUUCGGAUUUACUGGGCGUAAAGGGCGCGUAGGCGGGAUGGCAAGUGACGGGUGAAAGCCCUCGGCUCAACCGAGGAACUGCCUGUCAUACUGCCCGGGCUUGAGUCCGGGAGAGGUGAGUGGAAUUCCCAGUGUAGCGGUGGAAAUGCGUAGAUAUCAAGAGGAACACCUGCGGCGAAGGCGGGUUGCUGGGCCGACACUGACGCUGAGGCGCGAAAGCCAGGGGGAGCGAACGGG
rnacentral:rRNA from 1 species